CCUACGGGAGGCAGCAGUGGGGAAUAUUGGACAAUGGGGGGAACCCUGAUCCAGCGACGCCGCGUGAGUGAAGAAGUAUUUCGGUAUGUAAAGCUCUAUCAGCAGGGAAGAAAAUGACGGUACCUGACUAAGAAGCCCCGGCUAACUACGUGCCAGCAGCCGCGGUAAUACGUAGGGGGCAAGCGUUAUCCGGAUUUACUGGGUGGAAAGGGAGCGUAGACGGUGCAGCAAGUCUGAUGUGAAAGGUCGGGGCCCAACCCCGGGACUGCAUUUGAAACUGUUGAACUGGAGUACAGGAGAGGUAAGCGGAAUGCCUGGUGUAGCGGUGAAAUGCGUAGAUAUUAGGAGGAACACCAGUGGCGAAGGCGGCUUACUGGACUGUAACUGACGUUGAGGCUCGAAAGCGUGGGGAGCGAACAGGAUUAGAUACCCUAGUAGUC
rnacentral:rRNA from 1 species